AAACACUUAAAAAAAUAAAGGUUUCAGUUAUGGGGCACCUGGGGUGGCUCAGCUAAGUGUCUGACCCCUGAUUUCGGCACAGGUCGUGAUCCCAGGGUCACGGAUGGAGGCCCGCAUCCAGCCCUGCACGGACAGCACAGCCUGCUUGCGAUUCUCUCCUCCCCCAAUGUGUGUGUGCACACGCACGCUCUCUUAGUAAAUAUUUUAAAAAGUUUCAAUGAAUAAUUUGUGAACAGCAUGGUGUGAGGCAGGAUUCCGUAGGAGGAGGGAAAAGAGAUCCGGAAGGAAUGGGAAAAGGGCAGUAAAUGGCAAAUCAGAUUAAAGGUUGAAUUAUGAAGAUACUCUUGUUUGUAUUUCCUCCUGUGUUUGCUGCUUUGGCUCAAGCUGCUGCCAGGCAAGAAGUGUGAUUUGGUUAACAAUAAAGCUGAAAUUAUGUAUCUUCUUGAUUAUCCCAUUUUCUUCUCUCUCCAUUCCCCCAUUCCAGACACACACCCCUAAUGCUGCUUGGUGGAUACAUGUUGCCGACUUAAUUGUAAAAGCUCUUCAGUACAAACUUAAUACGUCCCUGUGUUUUCAAAGAGGUUGAUUCUGUUUCUAGCAGUUCAUUUGAUUUAAGAAAACUCCGCUUGUCCCCCAUCAGCUCAAAAAGCCAAGGGGGACAGAACAGUCAUGGCAGGUGGGGAGGGUAUGCGCUGCUCUGCAGACAGGGCUCCCCACUGCAGUCCAGGGCUAAUGCCCUCGUCUUCAGACCAGCCCAUUUACCUAGGGGAAGACCAGAAGGGGUGGUUUGUGCCCAUUUUCUCAGGUCUGCCACAGGGUAGGAAGUCACUAUGGCUUGCACGUUUGGGCAGAGACGUCCUAAGAAUAAAAGGAACGAUCGGGUUGGCCACUGCACACAUCACUCUAUGAAUGGCUUUUUUCAUGUGGAUUCCCUUCCAUGCCCCCGAGUCCUACCGGGCAGGAUCUGCAGACGAAACGUUUCUGGGGGUACUUAGGCAAAUUGCUACCAACCCCAGUUCUUUAUAAAGUAAAAUACCUUCGCAAAUAUAUGAAAUAGCACUAAGUCAGCUAGGAAACUUACCUUUUUUCAGUUUAGAGGUUUUCAAAUCUGCCCUCGGAUUCUGGGAUGGGCCGUGGAGAUCUAGGUUUAGAAAGUUUCAGGGUCCCCCCCCCCCCCCCUUCUAUGAAUCUUACCAGAUCAGGGACAGCUUUUAGAUACUGUUAAGAAAAGUAAAUGUUAAAAAGGGAGGUGAUUCAAAAUAGUCUUAUUUUAAAAGACCCCUUAAAAGAAGUUACAUCUACUUUAUAAAAUGGAAUCUUCUAGAAAACCAACAUGUGGCUACAGGCCAAGGAUGCUGCUGCCAAACAUUCCACACUACACUUAUCAGCACCACAUCCAACAAAACUGGUUUGUGCUAAAGUUAAGAAACCAACACUGGUCUAAUUAAACAGUAAUUUAGAGCUGGGGUGGGAGUUGUCCUUCCAGGCCCUUUACAUCCCUUGUCACAACCUCUCAAUGUGAGGAGACCUCCGAGCCUGGCUGUGACCUGCUGCAGAGAGGUCAGAGAGGACGUGGGAGUAAGUCUGCCUGACCCCCAAAGCUUGUCCUUCCCACUAUCCCUUAACCCUUUCUUUUGUUUUCAUAAAUGAAAUGGGGGGACGUUUUCCAAAGGUCACACAUCUCGGGAGUAAGUACUAAGAUCGGCAGUUUGUAUCAAAACUGGGUGAGAGUGCACAGACUUCUUUUAAGAGCCCAAUCUUCACUGGUAGAGAAUUCUCAGCUUCCCAGUAAAGCUGCAGUUUAGACUGAUUACUUAAAAGCAAGUAUAGGAAAAUUAAUGAAAAACCAGUCUUAAGCACAUAGAACACUUUUAGAAAGUACACUGAAUUGUAAGGCUCAGAAAUAUAAAUUAAAAGGCUCAAGCCGUAAGUCCCUUUGGAGUACUAUUUAUGUUAAGAUUUUUUUAAAAAACAGACACUCUUCUGCCCAACGUGGGGUUCGAACUCAUGACCCCAAGAUCAAGUGUUUACAUGCUCUACUGACUGAAUCAGCCAGGUGCCCCAUAAAAAUUUUAAGCUUAGAUUUGGAAAAGCAGCUUUUCCAGCUCACCUUGAUGGAAUUAGGGAUGCUCAAAAGAUUUCUAAGCCAGCAUGCCAGUUUAAUAAUUUAUAGGAAAUAGACUGAACUAUAGAGGCACCCCAUUUCCCACUGCAUCAAGGGCCGGUACAUACUUUCCUCCCGAUGCACCGGAUGAAAUGGGUGCCUUCCUAUUUCAAACCAGUCCUAACUGCAGUGGGUUCCUCCUGACCACUCAAAAAUGGUGCAAAUGUGGUUACCCCUUCAUUUGCACCAUUAUUUUUCCUCUCCGGGCUAAAAACAAAACCCCUUCUCUCUUGACACCCCUCUCCCCAACAAGCCGCCUAAGGUACAAUCCCAUUUUUCUGCUCCCUCUCACUGCAAAGCUAAAGUUAACCUCCCCGCCUUUUAACUCACUUCAAAGAGCAUUUAUCCCUACGCUGCACUGCAGAAGCCUGCGUGAGACACCAUAAAACCCGCCGUACUCCCAUCAGCACACCUGGCACGGGCCACCGUUUGUUUUCAAAACGCUUUCCUUGGCUUCAGAUGGGACGGACAGCGCUUCCUGGUUUUCUACCUUGCUGGCCAUUCCUGGCAGUUCUGCUGUUCCCUCCUCCGAUGACGUCUCGCACUGACUGCCCUUUGCCACUCCCAAAUGUAGGCUUUCAAUUAAAUGCCAUUUGCAUGAUGGCGACUCCCCAUAUUUGUAAAUCACACCUAACCUCUCCCAAGCUUUCAUUUCCCCAUUCAUCUGUCUAGCGAUGCCUUGUGUAUGUCAGAGAAGCACCUUGAAAUUAAUACUUCCAAAUUAGAAUUACUUUUCAGGCAUCACUCCUCCACCAAUUUGCGGACCAAAAACCUAGGCACCAUCAUCCUUGAAUCCUUCAUCAAACCCAUGUCCAAUGUGUUGGCAAGUCUGGGACAUACCUGAACCAAACACAUCCUGAACUGAAUUCACCUCCGCUGCUCCUACCAGGCUACCAUCAUCCCUCAUAGUAUCUUCACAGACCAUCGUCCUUUUAAAUCCCCCAUGCCUUCCUUACUACUGUCGUGAAGGCCCCCACUCUCUCUCAUCCUCUGGUCUAGGUACACCGACCCAGAUGGUUCUUCCUUAGCACACACUGCCUUUCUUCUCCUGGAUCUUUGCGUGGUUGAGUCAGUAGCUGAAAUUCUGGUUUCCCUUUUGUCUGAGUCCUGCAGCACAAUGGAAGUUCCACAAGGAACAUUUUGCCUGUUUUGAUCAAGGCUGUGUCUUUGGCACCAAGUGCCUAAUACUCAGUAGGUACUCUGUAAAUACUUUUUGAAUGGGCUGAUAAAUUCAGAAUUUGCCUACAGUGCUUUCCUGGUAGGCCAGUACCAAAUUUUGUAUUUUAAAGUUUCCUGGAGAGCAAAGAAUGGGGGCAGAAAGUUUUUAAGGGUUAGUUCUAUCAGCUUAACUCCCAUUUUUAUCUUAGGUUUGCUGAUGCUAAUAAUCCCUAGAUUACACUGGAAUGAUCACUGAAUAAUUCUUUAAAAAGAACUGCAAGCUUCCUUUUCUGACACCACCCUGGGCUACUAAUUCAGUCAUAGCUUAUGCUACAUAAAUUUUGUAAUCUCUUUGUAUGAGCUUUGAUAGGUACUAGUGUUUUAUGAGUAAGCUUUUUCCCCCCCUCCCAACCUUGCCACAUAAAUCUGGUGGUGUUCAGUUUUGCGGCUUGUACCUAAGCCUUCUUUUCACCAACUACAGUAUUUUGUUUUGCUAAUGAUGGACCAAUUAAAUAGGUCAAUAGUUUUUUUUUUUUCAUUAAAUUUUUAAAUUUUCAAUGGCUAAACCAUACUUUGCACCCUUAAAUGAUAGCAGUCAUCUGUCAAAGGUAACAAACAGAGGGAUAAAAGCCCUAUUUAAGAUGCCAGUGCUUACAGUUAUGGUGCCUCUUGAAAUAAACAACUUUUAAAUUGGGGUACAUUUGGUUAUAUGACGUAUACUCCAAAUAGUAUAUGAGGCAUUAAAAAAAAAAAAAGGCACUUGAUAGUGUAGAAACUGACAAAUCUGUUUUGAUAUUCAAUAUGGAAAUAUCCAACAUUUGUUCAUAUUAACCAUCUGAUGACCUGAGCCAAAUUUAAAGGAAAAAUCCCCAGAGAAGCAGUAACUGAAGUAGCAAAAUUUCCAAGCUGAGCAGAGACUAUCCUAAAACUGUGGAUUAGGACCGUUCUGGCACACAGUAGUUCUUGCGUAUUUGUUCAUUAUUGAUCCAAAGUGAGCAUCUCUACAAGCUCUCUAUUGAAAAAAAAAUGUUUUCUUCCAUUUUCUGAACAUCCGUUAUUCGCUCAGCACUGAGGAUAUAUAAAUUGGGUUCCCUGAAGGAGCCCAAGAGGAAGACGACAUAAAUGAUGCACAUCCAGUAUCAUGAGUGCGGGAAUGAUGUAGCUAAGUGGAAGGUGCCGGGGAGAUGGGGACAGAGGCAUUUCCGUCUGCUUUGGGGAGUCAGGAGGCCCUUUAGGAGAAACCGCCCUCCUUUUCCAAGCCCCCUGUGUCUAGAGCCUCGGGUAGGUUUGGUGCAAUUGGAAGGGAGAGGAAUCACACAGGCUGCACGGUUAGGGGCUACGUGAGGGCUUUGUACUAAAGGCCACGGAAUUCGGCUUUUAUCCUGGGAGCAACGCGCCGCAGCGACUGCAUCUCCCGCAGACGUGAAAUGGUGCAGUUUGCAGGUAAGAAACACUAAGUCAACUGGAGAAGCAUAUGUGGCCUUGAGCUAUGGGACAUUACUUCCCUUUAACACCGCUACUGAGAAAUGUUGAACCUCACUUUGGUGUAGUCAGUGUUGGUCUUCGACAGUGAAUGGAUACACCGCCAGGUCUGUUGUGGGGCUCAAGAUUCUGCAUUUCUAGCAAGCUCCAGCCAAUGCUGAUACUGCUAAUGUUGGGACCACGCUUUGAAUAAGAGAGCAUGAACGGGGGAGGGUCAGAGAGAGGGAGACACAGAAUCUGAAACAGACUCCAGGCUCCGAGCUAUCAGCACAGAGCCCGACGCGGGGCUCGAACUCACGGACUGUGAGAUCAUGACCUGAGCCGAAGUCAGCCACUUAACCUACUGAGCCACCCAG